CAAUAGCGCAUAUUAAAGUUGUUGCAGUUAAAAAGCUCGUAGUUGGAUUUCUGGUGGGAGCGAUCGGUCUGGCGCUUAGCGCGAGUACUUGCAUCGUCUCCGGCCAUCCUUGGGCAGAGUCUGUCUGGCAUUAGGUUGUCGGGCAGAGGAUCCUCAUCGUUUACUGUGAAAAAAUUAGAGUGUUCAAAGCAGGCUUAUGCCGUUGAAUAUAUUAGCAUGGAAUAAUAAGAUAGGACUUUGGUACUAUUUUGUUGGUUUGCGCACCAAAGUAAUGAUUAAUAGGGACAGUUGGGGGUAUUCGUAUUCCGUUGUCAGAGGUGAAAUUCUUGGAUUUACGGAAGACGAACAACUGCGAAAGCAUUUACCAAGGAUGUUUUCAUUAA
rnacentral:rRNA from 1 species